rnacentral:rRNA from 1 species
AGAGUUUGAUCAUGGCUCAAGAACGAACGCUGGCGGCAUGCCUAACACAUGCAAGUCGAACGAUGCCUUCGGGCAUAGUGGCGCACGGGUGCGUAACGCGUGGGAAUCUGCCCUUGGGUUCGGAAUAACUCAGAGAAAUUUGAGCUAAUACCGGAUGAUGACGUAAGUCCAAAGAUUUAUCGCCCAAGGAUGAGCCCGCGUAAGAUUAGCUAGUUGGUGGGGUAAAGGCCUACCAAGGCGACGAUCUUUAGCUGGUCUGAGAGGAUGAUCAGCCACACUGGGACUGAGACACGGCCCAGACUCCUACGGGAGGCAGCAGUGGGGAAUAUUGGACAAUGGGCGAAAGCCUGAUCCAGCAAUGCCGCGUGAGUGAUGAAGGCCUUAGGGUUGUAAAGCUCUUUUACCAGGGAUGAUAAUGACAGUACCUGGAGAAUAAGCUCCGGCUAACUCCGUG